CAGAAAUCACAACGAGUUGUUAUAAUCAAUUUUAGCCAACUUCGUUACCCACUUCCUUUUGUUUUUCCUCAAUUACACGGUACUGAGUACCCAGUAAUACAAGAAACCCAGAAUGAAAUUGCCCAUACAAAUUGGAAUCAAGCUCAAAGUAAGCAUCAGCUAAGCAAAUUUAAUUUCUAAGAACCCAUCAAAAAGAAAAUGGAAAAUCAUACAUAC
rnacentral:misc_RNA from 1 species